UGAGUACGAGAUGCUACGGCAUUGAAGCAGUCUAUGUCAUACUUCCAAGAAAAGCUUGCACUGUCAUAAACAAAGAAUGCCUGUACCAUAACCGACACAGGUGGGUAGGUAGAGUAUACUAAGGGGCGCGAGAUAACUCUCUCUAAGGAACUCGGCAAAAUGACUCCGUAACUUCGGGAGAAGGAGUGCCUUAUUUUUAAGGUUGCAAUAACAAGAUCCAAGCAACUGUUUAUCAAAAACACAGGUCUCCGCUAAGUCGUAAGACGAUGUAUGGGGGCUGACGCCUGCCCAGUGCCAGAAGGUUAAAGAAGUUGGUUAGCAUUCGCGAAGCUGAUAACUGAAGCCCUGGUGAACGGCGGCCGUAACGAUAACGGUCCUAAGGUAGCGAAAUUCCUUGUCGGGUAAGUUCCGACCCGCACGAAAGGCGUAAUGAUUUGGAUACUGUCUCGGAGAGGGACUCGGUGAAAUAGACUUGUCUGUGAAGAUGCGGACUACCUGCACCUGGACAGAAAGACCCUAUGAAGCUUUACUGUAACUUGAAAUUGAAAUUGGACUUUAGUUGCGCAGGAUAGGUGGGAGGCGUUGAGAAUAUUCUUGCGGGAGUAUUGGAGCCAUCAGUGAGAUACCACUCUUCUAAUGUUAGAUUUCUAACUUUGUAUCAUUAUCUGGUCAAAGAACAGUUUCAGGCGGGCAGUUUGACUGGGGCGGUCGCCUCCUAAAGGGUAACGGAGGCGCACAAAGGUUUCCUCUGAACGAGUAGAAAUCGUAUCUAGAGUGUAAAGGCAUAAGGAAGCUUGACUGUGAGACCUACAAGUCGAGCAGGGACGAAAGUCGGUCUUAGUGAUCUGACGGUGCUGAGUGGAAAGGCCGUCACUCAACGGAUAAAAGUUACUCUAAGGAUAACAGGCUGAUCUCCCCCAAGAGUUCACAUCGACGGGGAGGUUUGGCACCUCGAUGUCGGCUCAUCGCAUCCUGGGGCGGUAGUACGUCCCAAGGGUUGGGCUGUUCGCCCAUGAAAGCGGUACGCGAGCUGGGUUCAGAACGUCGUGAGACAGUUCGGUCCAUAUCCGGUGUAGGCGUUAGAAUAUUGAGAGGAGCCUUCUCUAGUACGAGAGGACCGAGAAGGACAUACCUCUAGUGUACCAGUUAUCGUGCCAACGGUAAACGCUGGGUAGCUAUGUAUGGAGUGGAUAACCGCUGAAAGCAUCUAAGUGGGAAGCCCACCUCAAGAUAAGUAUUCU
rnacentral:rRNA from 1 species